UGAGUACGAGCGGCUACGGCCGCGAAGUGGAUGAUGUCAAGCUUCCAAGAAAAGCCCUAUACCCGUUAAGGCAUGAUGGCCUGUACCCGAAACCGACACAGGUGGGGUGGUAGAGAAUACCGAGGGGCGCGAGGUAACUCUCUCUAAGGAACUCGGCAAAAUGGCCCCGUAACUUCGGGAGAAGGGGUGCCACCGCGAGGUGGUCGCAGUGAAGAGGCCCAGGCGACUGUUUACCAAAAACACAGGUCUCCGCUAAGUCGCAAGACGAUGUAUGGGGGCUGACGCCUGCCCAGUGCCGGAAGGUUAAGGAAGCUGGUCAGCGCAAGCGAAGCUGGCGACUGAAGCCCCGGUGAACGGCGGCCGUAACUAUAACGGUCCUAAGGUAGCGAAAUUCCUUGUCGGGUAAGUUCCGACCCGCACGAAAGGCGUAACGAUCUGGGCGCUGUCUCGGAGAGAGGCUGGGCGAAAUAGAAUUGUCUGUGAAGAUGCGGACUACGUGCACCCGGACAGAAAGACCCUAUGAAGCUUUACUGUAGCUUGGUAUUGUGCUCGGGCUCGGAAUGCGCAGGAUAGGUGGGAGGCUUUGAUCCAUUGCUUGCGGGUGAUGGUGAGCCACUGGUGAGAUACCACUCUUUCCGAGCUAGAGUUCUAACAGCAACCCGUUAUCCGGGUGCUGGACAGUAUCAGGUGGGCAUUUUGACUGGGGCGGUCGCCUCCUAAAAGGUAACGGAGGCGCGCAAAGGUCUGCUUAGGCUGGUUGGAAAUCAGCCGACGAGUGUAAAAGCAGAAGCAGGCUUGACUGUGAGACCUACAAGUCGAACAGGGAGGAAACUCGGCUUUAGUGAUCCGACGGUUCUGCGUGGAAGGGCCGUCGCUCAACGGAUAAAAGUUACUCUAAGGAUAACAGGCUGAUCUCCCCCAAGAGUUCACAUCGACGGGGAGGUUUGGCACCUCGAUGUCGGCUCAUCGCAACCUGGGGCUGAAGUCGGUCCCAAGGGUUGGGCUGUUCGCCCAUUAAAGCGGUACGCGAGCUGGGUUCAGAACGUCGUGAGACAGUUCGGUCCAUAUCCGGUGCACGCGCAGGAAUAUUGAGAGGAUUUCUCCCUAGUACGAGAGGACCGGGAGGAACGCACCUCUGGUGUGCCAGUUAUCGUGCCAACGGUAAACGCUGGGUAGCCAUGUGCGGAGUGGAUAACCGCUGAAAGCAUCUAAGUGGGAAGCCCACCUCAAGAUGAGUAUUCCCAUGGCAUAAGCCAGUAAGGUCACGGGAAGAACACCCGUUGAUAGGCUCUACGUGGAAGCGCAGUAAUGUGUGAAGCGGAGGAGUACUAAUAGACCGAGGGCUUGACC
rnacentral:rRNA from 1 species